rnacentral:rRNA from 1 species
AAAGGUAAGCUACUAAGAGCGAAUGGUGGAUGCCUUGACUGGUAAAGGCGAUGAAGGACGUACUAGACUGCGAUAAGCUACGGGGAGCUGUCAAGAAGCUUUGAUCCGUAGAUUUCCGAAUGGGGCAACCCAAUGUAUAGAGAUAUACAUUACCUAUAUAGGAGCGAACGAGGGGAAUUGAAACAUCUUAGUACCCUCAGGAAAAGAAAUCAAUAGAGAUUGCGUCAGUAGCGGCGAGCGAAAGCGCAAGAGGGCAAACCCAGUGCUUGCACUGGGGGUUGUAGGACUGCAAUGUGCAAGAGGUAAGUUUAGCAGAACAUUCUGGAAAGUAUAACCAUAGAGGGUGAUAGUCCCGUAUGCGAAAAACAAACCUUAGCUAGCAGUAUCCUGAGUAGGGCGGGACACGAGGAAUCCUGUCUGAAUCCGGGUCGACCACGAUCCAACCCUAAAUACUAAUACCAGAUCGAUAGUGCACAAGUACCGUGAGGGAAAGGUGAAAAGAACUGAGGUGAUCAGAGUGAAAUAGAACCUGAAACCAUUUGCUUACAAUCAUUCAGAGCCCUAUGUAGCAAUACAGGGUGAUGGACUGCCUUUUGCAUAAUGAGCCUGCGAGUUGUGGUGUCUGGCAAGGUUAAGCAAACGCGAAGCCGUAGCGAAAGCGAGUCUGAAUAGGGCGCUUAGUCAGAUGCUGCAGACCCGAAACGAAGUGAUCUAUCCAUGAGCAAGUUGAAGCUAGUGUAAGAACUAGUGGAGGACUGAACCCAUAGGCGUUGAAAAGCCCCGGGAUGACUUGUGGAUAGGGGUGAAAGGCCAAUCAAACUUCGUGAUAGCUGGUUCUCUCCGAAAUAUAUUUAGGUAUAGCGUUGUGUCGUAAUAUAAGGGGGUAGAG